rnacentral:misc_RNA from 1 species
UGAAUCUUUGGUGAAUUUGUGGCAAUUAAAAUGAUGGGGUGUCCCCCUGCCCCAGCCCAAUGCCCACUAGAUGUUGCAAUUGGCUGGAAGUGACCAUGAAAAUGCCAGCGAGAAAUUUUCAAAAAUCAAUGAGCACAAGUGAAAUACAAGCAACAACAACAAAAUCAUUCAACAAAAAAGUGAAGCAUCAACCAUCAACCAUCAACAACAACAACAACAAAGCGAAACGCGCAGAAAUAACCGCAAUAAAAAAAUAAUCAAAAAAAUAGUAAUAUUAAUAAUAAUAAUAAUAGCGUUUAAGUGAAAUCCGCUGCUGGCUGGCUGGCUGGCUGGCUGAAGAAAACCGUUAUGCUGCACUGCCUCCCACAGCUGGGCCGCAGCUAGAGCUAGUGGACACUCGGACGAACAUCAUGGAUGGACAGCGGGCCCGCGAUCUGCUAACGCUGCUCCAGGAGCGUGUCGUCUUCCUCACGGGCGGCAGGGACAGGCGUGGCGGUCCACUGCUCUGCUUCCCCGCAACGCCGCGUCGCGACCGCCUCAAGCCGGAGGAUCUGCGACGGCUGCUCAGCUACCUAAUCAGCAUACCCAGGUGAGUG